rnacentral:tRNA from 1 species
GCCCCUGUAGUGUAGUCCGGUCAACACUUCAGAAUAUCUGGAGUAUACGGAAUAGCAUUCAAGACUGUCACUCUUGAGACCCGGGUUCAAGUCCCGGCGGGGGCGCCA